CUGAUCGGUGGGGGCACCGGUUUUCAGUCAUCAUUAUAAAUAAAGCGGACAACCCUCUUAAAGAGGACAAUAUACUUCCAAAACUUCAUGGGGAUACCUGAUAUUUAAGCACCUGAAAUUGAAUCCACUCUGCUUUCCAUUACUGAAACAGUGGUUCCCAAAGAUUAUAUGGACCAGACCUUUAACAAUGUAUGAUUUAAGGCAGCGAAUCCAGUGAGUCCACGCUGUUUAUGCUGGGGCUUGUAUGAAACAUUUUUAGCCACUGAAUUUAAAAAAAGUCUACAGUACAUCUUAAGACAUAUCUGUGAAAUAACAUCCAAUUAUUUCAGCUUCUAUAAAAGCACACAGAUCCUUCUGCUUUGUUUAAUCAUGAAUUAUGACUCCAGUGUGGCUGCCAUCAAUGAAGUCUGUAAAGUAUAAAUUAUAUAGAUAAAA